rnacentral:rRNA from 1 species
UUGUGGCCUUUAGACAUACUACCAACGGCGGCGCGAGCGUAAGCCUCUUGGAACKAAGCGUCUACGUGGGUGAGAAUCCUGUGUUUCGCUUGAUGCCCGCCGUGCACGGUACUUGCUCUCAGAGUCACGCUCCUCGGAAUUGGAGCGUAAAUUGGGUGGUAAAUUUCAUCUAAAGCUAAAUACAGGCUCGAGACCGAUAGCAAACAAGUACCAUGAGGGAAAGAUGAAAAGGACUUUGAAAAGAGAGUUAAAAGUGCUUGAAAUCGCUGAACUGGAAGCGAAUGGAACUAAGUGCUCUGGUUGAGAGUGCUGUAAAUGGCUGCGACAUCUGGGCUCUGGAACGCAAGUCCUUUGUCUGGCUUGAAGUAGUCGCUUUGCAAUGUGUCUCAGCUUGAACAUCAACUUCUAUGCAUACGUGAGGAUGGCCCUUGGCUCAUGCUGUGUUGCUGUGGCGAUCUCUUGUGCUUCUGGGGAUUCAGG